UAGCAUAAGCUCCAUGAGGUCAGGGACUGUUCCUGUAUGCUUAUCCUUUUAUUUUCACUGCCUAUCAGAGUGCCUGCUACAUAUGGUCUGGAACAAAACCCACAUUGUUGCCAAGGUUUCCUCCACAACUUCUCUACAGAGGAGUGGUUAGUGAGCUUGAACAGCUGAGCAAUAAUCCUCAUGAGAGGUUAGAAAUUACAGUGGGAACUACUGCCAAUGAAUAAGGAUGUCUAAAUCAAUGGGGUGACCACUAAACAGGAAUCUUUAAAUGGAUUCUGGGGUUGCAGAGGCCAAGUGGCAACACUUAAUUGCCAAAGUCAAGAUGAAUUUAUGCUGUAUUGGCCAAGAGAUUAUAGUUCCAGAGGGAAGACUGCUUCUACCAGAAGACCCAAGAAUGAUUUCAUUGAAAUAGAAGUUAAGACUGCUACCCAUCUACUUUGGGCUUCUCAUGCCUCUAAGUAAAUUUUGCUUAUUUUUAGUUACUGUGCUAAUUGGAACAAUUGAUCCUGACUGCCAAGAAUAAAUCGGACUGUUGCUAUACAAUAGAGGUAAGGGAAGACUAUGUCUGGGAGGCAGGAGAUAUUUUUGGAUAUCUGUUAGUGCUACCAUGCCCUGUGGUUAAAGUCAAUGGAAAACUAUGACAACCAAAUCCAGGCAGGACUACCAGUAGCCAAGACCCUACAAGAAUGAAGGUUUGUGUUACCCACCAGACAAAGAACCAUGGCCAACUGACAUUCUUGCUGAGAACAAAGAAUGCAAGCAAUGGAAAGUGGGAAAAGUGGCACAGGUAGCACUUGGCUUUAUUGACACACUGCUGAAGAGGACACAACUUCCUGAAGAAAAAGAGAGGCUAAAGAGAGUUUGUAGAUAAAUACUGCUUUUCAAUCUGAAUAAAAUUGCAUGAAGACUUGGAACAUACAUACUUAAAGGAAGGCAAGUUUGAAAAUCUGGUUUGGGGAUUUAUGGUGGAUAUUUUUGCUUAACACUAUGUCAUACAACAGUAAUAAAAAAUAAAAAGGUGUUGUUUCAAUAAAAUU
rnacentral:lncRNA from 1 species